GACAGAGGAUGCAAGCGUUAUCCGGAAGGAUUGGGCGUAAAGCGUCCGUAGGUGGUUUGGCAAGUCUGGGGUUAAAGCCCGGAGCCUAACUCCGGAUCGGCCCUGGAAACUGCCAGACUAGAGUAAGGUAGGGGUUGCGGGAAUUCCCGGUGUAGCGGUGAAAUGCGUAGAUAUCGGGAAGAACACCAGUGGCGAAAGCGCGCAACUGGGCCAUUACUGACACUGAGGGACGAAAGCUAGGGGAGCGAAUGGG
rnacentral:rRNA from 1 species